UUGAACGCUGGCGGCAUGCCUUACACAUGCAAGUCGCACGGCAGCACGGGGGGUAACCCCUGGUGGCGAGUGGCGAACGGGUGAGUAAUAUAUCGGAACGUGUCCUGUAGCGGGGGAUAACCUAUCGAAAGAUGGACUAAUACCGCAUACGACCUACGGGUGAAAGCGGAGGACCGCAAGGCUUCGCACUAUAGGAGCGGCCGAUAUCGGAUUAGCUAGUUGGCGGGGUAACGGCCCACCAAGGCGACGAUCCGUAGCUGGUCUGAGAGGACGAUCAGCCACACUGGAACUGAGACACGGUCCAGACUCCUACGGGAGGCAGCAGUGGGGAAUUUUGGACAAUGGGCGCAAGCCUGAUCCAGCCAUGCCGCGUGAGUGAAGAAGGCCUUCGGGUUGUAAAGCUCUUUCGGCGGGGACGAAACGGUUCGUGCUAAUACCACGGACUACUGACGGUACCCGCAGAAGAAGCACCGGCUAACUACGUG
rnacentral:rRNA from 1 species